rnacentral:lncRNA from 1 species
GCGAUAUCGGUGAUGGGAAGGCGCGAUCAGGAAGCGCUGGUGUCCGGCGCGUGCUGCCUUUGUUUUACUGGCUCCCCCUCAGCCAGGGAGACGAGCUCAGGGUCCGCUGCGUAUCUUGAUAUCUUCCGGUAAUGGAGAGCGAAGUGUUGCGGAUUUCAAAAAUUUUCUAUGAAGUUGAGUAAGCAUUCUACAACUACUGUGAUAGGGGCAAUCCCAGGACACCAAGAGAAAUACGAAGAGAAGAGAAAAUACUUGGUGGUCAAGAGGAGUACUUCUGAAUAAAGAAAAGGAAUCUUAUGUUCUUAUAGAAGCCCACAACACAUGACCAUAGAUGGCGCCUAAACCACUUGGGAAGUGGGAAAAGUAUGGAAAAAGAUACUGUCGAGAUUGGGAAAGGGAAACUGGAUUAAAAGAAUGGAUUCGAAGUAUACCUGGAGAUGACACAAAGGCAGCAUGCAAAUAUUGCGCAUGUGAAAUCCGAGCCCAUCAUAGUGAUUUGGUUGCACACAGUAAAACCAAAAAGCACAAGAGACAUGUUGCUUUAUUUUCAUGUUCUUCUGAUAUGAAAAAACAUUCAUUUGAAUUUGAAGUUGAAAACCAAAAUUCAUUUGACGAUGAUAUCACGCAAGCCAAAAUGGAUCAAUCUGUUAAUGUGUGCGCACUGAAGCUAGCGGCACACAUAGCUUGCAAUAUGAGCAUUUUUACAGUGGAUCACCUAGGCUGCAUUGUUGGAGGGAUAGCAGAGAAAGACAUUAGUCUGCAUAGAACAAAAUGCUCCACACUGAUUAGAAAUGUCAUUGGGCCUACUGUACAUGAAGAACUUCUGAGAGACAUUGGCAAUGGACACUAUUCAUUGAUUAUUGAUGAAAGUACAGAUGUAUCAGCACAAAAGCAACUUUGCUUGAUAGUAAGAUACUUUAGCAACAAGCUUAAAUGUAUUGUAUCAUCCUUUGCAGGGAUCAUUAAUUUGACUAGAAGUGGUACUAUCACAGAAGCCCUCUUGACAUUUCUAAAUGACAACAAGCUGAACAUAAAAAAGUGUGUUGGGAUUGCUGCUGAUGGUUUCAAUACAAGCUUAUGUGGAAAUAAAAAUUCAUUGCUCAAAAAGUUUUAUGAACUCAAUCCUUGUGGAGUUUUCAUCAAAUAUAGGGGAUCAUAUCAAGUUGAAACAGCAAUGGAGAAAUCUGGAUGCAGUCUCAUGGACAAACACAGAAGAUAGCCAAAUAGAACAGUUCUGGAUAGAAGUUGCAAAACACACAGAUGAAGUUGGUGAUAAGGAUUUUGUUGAGCUUGGAUUAUUUGCCCUUGCCCUUCUCACCUUGCCGUUCAGCACUGCAGCUGUGGAAUGUACAAUCUCACAAAUGAACUCGAUAAAAACCAAGUUAAAGAACAGACUGCAGGACAGCCUACUUGAAAAUAUCUUAAGGAUCAGGGCCCAUAUGCACCGAAAUAAGAUUUGCUGCAACCAGUUUCAACCAUCCAAAGAGAUGAUAUCUUUGUUUAAUAAUGAGUUUUAUGCAAUUGCUAAUAGCAAGGACGCUACAGAUGACUCUGAGGAGGAUAUAUUUUGAAAAGACUCAAGUGAAGAGGAUCUCUUUUAAAAAAGUAAGCAAGGAUUUUCAAAAUGGCGCAUUGCAAUUGAACUAUUUGACUCAUGCAUUUCAAAUUUUGUUCUAUCUACAAAUCUGUUUUCCCAUUCAUUUAGUAAGAACUACUUUUCAUAGAGGAAAGAUACAUUGCAUAAAGCCACACAACCCUUUUUAGAAAAAGAUUUUUGAAAAACUAAAGUAAAAUUAAUGAGGCAUGCUCUAAUAGUAAUUCAUUUGGUGGGGGCCACACUUGACUGAAGAUGCUGAUUAGACAGUGCACCAAAAACCCCUCCCCAUUAGCCUAUUAAUGUAAUACAGUCAUGGCAUAUUUUUAUAUUGAGUGAUACACAACGUAACACUACAUUUCUGUGCCUCAGUACAAUACUCUCAGUCAGGUGCCAGAUGGCUGGGUGAAAAUUAAAUAAAACCUGCUUUUUUGUAUAUGUUUUGGAGGGC